rnacentral:rRNA from 1 species
CCUACGGGUGGCAGCAGUGGGGAAUAUUGGUCAAUGGGCGCAAGCCUGACCCAGCAACGCCGCGUGAAGGAAGAAGGCUUUAGGGUUGUAAACUUCUUUUGUCAGGGAAGAGUAGAAGACGGUACCUGACGAAUAAGACACGGCUAACUACGUGCCAGCAGCCGCGGUAAUACGUAGGUGACAAGCGUUGUCCGGAUUUAUUGGGUUUAAAGGGCGUGUAGCCGGGUUGACAAGUCAGAUGGGAAAUCCUGCGGCGUAACCGCAGAACUGCAUUUGAAACUGUUGAUCUUGAGUACUGGAGAGGCAGACGGAAUUCGUAGUGUAGCGGUGAAAUGCGUAGAUAUUAGGAAGAACACCAGUGGCGAAGGCGGUCUGCUGGACAGCAACUGACGGUGAGGCGCGAAAGCGUGGGGAGCAAACAGGAUUAGAUACCCCUGUAGUC